GCCACUGCUGUUGAAUAUGGUACUAUAUGGUGCAAGCAGAAUGGCAUAGGAAAUAUUCAUAUUGAACUGGAUUCACAAAUCAUUGCCAAUAUGCUCAUUAACCAGGGCACAAACAACUUAAAACUCAAGCAAGUCAUCACCAAGAUCCUCAAGAAUCUAGAGGGCAUCUCAGUCAGCGAAGGAGCUAGGAUUUCCGCCGAGCGGGUUCAAAAUAUAAAAAAGUAAACAUACGAAGAAGCCUAAGAGGUUUCAACAUCUACUAUAUAUACAAAAAAAAAAAAAAUUAACCUUGUAAAAACAGUGUUUUUUUCCGCCGAGGGGGUUCAUCAGCUCCGCCACUGAUCUCAGUACAAAUCUCUCAUUGCUUCAGAGAAGCUAACACUGUUGCUGACUAUUUGGCUAAGCUGGCCUCAUCAAGUAGAAUCAGGAUCUUAUAUCAUUCUCAUGACAGCCUACCUAGAGAAGCAAAGGGACUGGUUCAACUAGAUAAGUGGCAGCUUCCAACCUUUAGAAAAAAAUUUGAGAAAUGUAAUUUUUUGGUAAGCUAAUAUGUUUGUUGUAUAUUAUGGAAAGAGACUUGUAUAGGCUCACUCUUUCCUUCUAAGAUUGUAUAUCAAUCUUCUUUUGUAGAUUAGAGGCAAGGUUCCAUGUCCCCCUCUAAUCAUUGUAAGUUUCUUCCAUAAAUUAACAUGAUAGGGGUCAAGUCAAACCCCCCACACCUUAGGCCCACAAUCUAUUGGUGAUGGCUUAAUAUAAAAAAUAAAAAAUAAAAAAACUGGAAGCUUCGAAGCGGACUUUAAAGAAAUGUCAUAUAGGGAAAGUCCAGCUUCAAAUCCGACUUCUAACUCCCUCAUCUUAGAGUUCUCGUUAGAGCAGAAGAGUUGUAGGUCUGGUUGAAAGACCGUGGAAGGUAGCAGAUGCUAGACUUGUUCUUGAGGAUGGUUCAAUUUGGAGGGAAAAGUGAUUUGGUGCUUCUGGAACACAAAUUGGAGAAGUUGUUUUUAAUACAUCUUUAACUGGGUAAGACAAAUUAUCUUUAGCUAUCAGUCAUAUCCAUUUUUAAGUUUUGCCGACAACAUUUAUUCAAGCUUUGACAUUGGUUAUUUAAAGUUUCCAUUAUACUGAGUACUGACAUAUGCUUCAAGAUUUCAGUAAAGCUAUCUUUAUCCCAGCUUUUGUAUAGAAAUGUUAAACGAGCCUUAGAUUUCCAUCAAGCAAAUCCCCAACAACCUGUCUUCCCUAGAAAAUAUGUUCAAGCAUGCGCCGCUUCAAUGAAUGUUUUAUCUGGUGGAAAUGGGAUUCACCUUCUCUUUUGGAUCACUGUGUUGUUUAUAAUAAUUUCAUUAGCACAACUGAUUCCUUAAGAAAUACAACAUGAUGUUCUGAUAAGUAGUAAACUUCGUAUCUUUUGAAAUCUUCUUCCCCUAGAUAAAGAUAAGUCAAGGCUUAUUUCCGACCAGAAGAAACAUCCCCUUAUAUACAUGUUAGUAUGUUGUUGAUUAUUCUGGUUCCUCCUAUGUCUAAGAAUGAUAGCAAUGGAACUCACCAGAAUUCAGAUUUUCUUCUCUUUCUCUACCUUUUUUCCUUAUAUGCUCCGUUUGAAAAGGCAGCAAUCUUUUCUUUUUCUUUUCCCUGCACCUCGAAUGGACUUAACCUGUGAUUCCAUUAAGUUUAUCUGUAUAAAAUCAUUGUCAAUCAGUUUUGUAGUUCAAUAAAAUAUGUAGUCCUUACUGUAUAGCUUGCUUUCCAUGAAAGAACAUCUUCUUUCCCCUUAGGUCUAUGUGCUGGCCCAAUACAGUGGGAACGAACAAGCGGAGCUUUGAGCCUCUACGAUAAACUCAAGAUGAACAAAAGGAAGAAAUGGGAAAUAUUCUUUAUGACAUUCUUUUAGGAAAUAUCGACAUUUACAUUCAUAGACCUAUACCAACCUGGUAAAAUAGCCAAUAGGGAGACAAAAUUGCCUGCACAUCUUUAAGGACAUGUCUACUACACUAGAAAGGAAAAUGUUUCUUGCCAGUACGCUUUGAAGAUGAACCAAUUUGGGCAUCUUCAAUAGAAAUUGAGGUGUUCAUAGUUAGAGUUCUAAGAGAGAGGCAUAGCAUUUAAGAAACUAUUCGUCUAAAAAGUCCAACAGAUGUUAGAGAUAAGAAGCAUGGUAUUUGACCAUAUUCAGAAUCUAUUAAUAUGAUAUGGACAUUCAUCCAAAACAUUUUGGGUUUGUAAUUUAUAUCCAUUUGUUUUCUUCUGCUAAAAGUAUUCUUCCUAGUUUGUAAUAGUGCAAUUGAGUACAGAACAACAGGAAGAGAAAAUAGCAACAUUGGGACUUGUGCAGAAGGGUCGGGUUGAACGAAUAAUAGAUGCAUUAGAAAUGAUAUCUGCACAAGCUUCCGCUUCAUUGUUGAUUCAUUUCCUCUUUUUUUUUUUUUUUUUUUGAGAAAUUCUUUUAGAUGAUUUGAUGUCUUAAUACGAAGGAAAAUCUAAAUUGUGGAUGUUAGAUCACAAAGUUGUCUGUUUGGAAAAUGAAAGAAGCCUUUAAAUGCCUCCAAAAAGGAAAUAAAACAGAAAGGAGGAAAAAUGGAUAUAAUAAAUCCCCAGAAUACAGUGCAUUACUUUGGACCUAUAUUUUGAAUAAUCUUUUAAUUGUUUUAGAAAUUUCUUCUCCGGGCAGAUGAUGAAGAAUCAGGACAGUGCUUUCUUGCAGGAUUAGCUAUUAGAAGUUUAAGUAUCAGGUUUAGUAGAAUGCCCUGCUUUUCUGUCAGACUUCAAAAGUAUGUUUUUUUUUAUUGUGUAUUGAAUAUUUCUCAUUACCUCAAAUUGGAGAUGCAAAGAGACACUUGGUGACUAUUUGGCUGAAAGGAACAUCAUGGGUAUAUAUGAUGCCGAUACUCGAGCGAUUACACUAAGAGUAAGAGAAUAAGAAAGCCUAAUUGGAGUCUUGAGCACGGAGAAUUCCAAAAGUGACAAAGAACUUCUAGAAUCCCAUACAUGGGAUAUUGUCGGUGUGGAUUUAAUCAGUGGUGUUUCACGCAAGUCUCCUUAUGAAUGGCUAGGUGGAACAGCCUCAGCUUGAGAUUUUAAUGACAAUGCAAGAAAUAAACAAACUUUCAAUGCGGUUAGCAUCCUAUGGCUGUAAAAUCACUGUUGUUCCUUCAACAUGGCCAGCAUCUGAAAUCCUAAAGAUGAGACCGGUGGAGUUCUUUUCAGCAGAUCAUUAUGUCAUUCCUUAUGCAGUUGAGACGGUAAAAAACCUUACUGGAAAAAUUUCAGUUUUUGGCAUUUGCAUGGGUCACCAGUUGCUUGGUCAAGCACGGGGGGUAACAUAUUCAAAAUGAAAAUUUGGUCACCAUGGAGGAAACCAUCGAGUCCGAAACCUUCGAAAUGGUAGCGUUGAGAUUAGUGCUCAGGCAUGUUCAAUAGCAAAACUCUAGUGAUUGCUUUGUGUCAAUUUCCAUUUUUCUGUACAGUUCAACCUCAGUUCAUCAACGUAGUGUUCACUUUUAAUAUUCUUGAAUUUUUAUAAUCUUGAUUGCUUUCCAUAUGCAGAAUCACAACUAUGCUGCUAACCCUGAGUCUCUUCCGGAGGGUGUAGAGGUGACUCGUUUAAAUUUAAAUGAUGGAAGCUGUGCUGGUCUUGCCAACUUCCAAAUGAAGUUGAUGUCACUUCAAUACCAUCCUGAAGCAUCUCCAGGACCCCAUGAUUCAGAUCCUCUAUUUGGGGAAUUUAUACAACUUAUGAAGCAAGAAAAAGUGAAGGCAUAAGCCCCCCGAGUGUUGAUCGGUAGUUGGUAAGAUAUGCUUGAGGGAACCACAUUCCUAAGGGUAGUGAUGGCGCUGAAAAAAGAAAAGAAUUCUUAUGAGAUUUGCAUUCAAAUCAAAACAAUCCUGGAUUUGUCGAAAUAUCAUGUUGCACCUCUUCUCACUUUACAUUGAUGGACAUAUACACGAUUCUAAGUUGUGAGAAGCGGUUGAUUACUCAUCUGUUUCUAGAAAAAAUCAAAGAAUUUCUUGGGAGUCCUACCGGAUUCUGUUCGUUCAUUUCUCUGAUAGAUGAUUGGAACUUUAUUUGGGUUCAAUCCUACUGAGAGGUUCACUAAAGAUUAGAAAUUGUUGAAGGAACAACGAGAUCUUUCUUUUGUCCCUUACAGGGCUUGUCUUUAAGAAGUUGACUUCUAUGUAGCUCAGUUGCAGAGGAUAGUAAAAUCUGUGCCUUAAUCUAGUCUAAUGACUUGCUAAAUGUUUUGGUUUGUGUAAUGGUUCUUUGUGGAUUGUUUUAGUAUUAAGUAAUCACA